UACGUAGGGUGCGAGCGUUAAUCGGAAUUACUGGGCGUAAAGCGCGCGCAGGCGGUUUGGUAAGACAGAUGUGAAAUCCCCGGGCUUAACCUGGGAAUUGCAUUUGUGACUGCCCGGCUAGAGUGUGUCAGAGGGGGGUAGAAUUCCACGUGUAGCAGUGAGAUGCGUAGAGAUGUGGAGGAAUACCGAUGGCGAAGGCAGCCCCCUGGGAUAACACUGACGCUCAUGCACGAAAGCUGGGGAGCAAACAGG
rnacentral:rRNA from 1 species